AGGCCCGGCUGGUGCUUCUCUGGGCGCCGCUGAAAGCCCAGCUCCGCAGGAGCUACAGGCGUGAGACCCACCGGGACCCGCGAGCGGGAUCAGGGCUGGGGGAUUAGCAGAGCCGCUUGCGAGGCUGACCCUCUCCAGGAUGCCCCAUCAUUCCUUCCUUCUGAGUACGGGGCAGGACUCUCUCUGGGAUGGAGGGGUCUUAGGACCUGCAAGCAAACAAGGGGGAGAUGCAUUAGAGUGCAGUGAUACGAUCACAGCUCAUUGCAGCCUUGACCUCCUGGGCUCAAGCAAUCCUUCCACCUCAGCCUCCCAAGUAGCGCCACUGAAAUCUAUGUUCUUACUCAGCCCACCUGCACUGAGGUGAAAUAAACAGCUUUAUUGCUCA
rnacentral:lncRNA from 10 species